CCUACCACUACCAUCUACGCCGCUCGUGCCCACCCGACCCACAACCCACCUCCACUCCCACCUUCUUCCUCCUGCGGUUGCCAGGACCCCGCAUCGCCCUGCCUUCCUCUGCGCAGCCGCGCCGACCACCCGGCGCCGCCCCGAUCCGCCGAGCCAUCGCAGCCACCUCCGCCUUGCCCUGAAGCCACCGCUGCCGCCGCCAGGGCCCCGCGCCACCAUCUAGCCACGGCCGUGCCUCCUCUCCAUACGGCCUCCGCGCCUCUCCUUCCCCACCCCACAUCGCCGCCAUGCCCCAAACCACGCCCGACGGCUGUUGUGCAUCCCCUUCCCCACCACCUCAUGGCCCGUGCCGCCAGCCUCCCUCGCAGCCACCACCGAACCUCGACCCUCCCUCGCGGCACCGCCGCACCCCUCGUGGCAUCGGAUCCGGCGAGAUCCGCCCCGCCCCGCGCUCAUCUCGGUGGACAGCGGCUCAUCUUGGUGGAGUUCAACGGCGGAGGGGAAAGGCCCAUGGUGGUCUCGAGCCUCCACCAGUCCCCACGGUGGAGGGCCGUCGCGGCAGCUCUUCUCCUGGGCCCCCUUCUCCUACCCCCAUGACGGCGACGACGACCUCUCCAGCUUGGACUCCUCCAUCUCCUUCAACACCUCGUACCCCUACCCCUACCCCUACGGCAAGUCACCUGGCCCACCAAGCCUACCUCCUGUGGUGGCGCCCCGGGAAAUCAUCAGAUCCUGGCGAGAUCCGGCCAUGGACUUCUUCUCGGGUGUGCAGUUUGGCCCCCGGCGGUGAUGCAGUGCAGCUCCAGAUCCACCGGAGAUCCAUGGCGUCGCUCCGAGCAUAGCCGAAGACCGCCGUGGAGUUCGUCGGUGACGCCCCCUCCACAACUCACGGUGUCCAAGCCGGGUCCACUAGCUGACGCCUCUCGCUCCCCUCUGCAUCUUCAUUCACGCGAGGGAUCCUCCUCGAUCCGUGUUCGCGCCUCCAUGGUUGUGCGCGUGCUUGCAGUACACUGACAUGAGGAGGGCGACGACACGCAUAGGUGAUAUGCAGUAUGCCAGCACACCGAUUACUUACAGUUUUCUCUCUGAAUUAAUCCCUAAACUAACAUGCUUGAAGUUCAGUCCCUGUUUUUUUGUGAUUCAGCUUUGUUGUGGUUUUGGUAGGAGAGCAUAAACACAGGGAAAAGGAGAAAGAAGAAUUUCUUUCCAUGCAGCUCGGCAUGUGACCAGCUCGGUUGCAACACGCUUGUAAGGGAGCGUUGUUUCUCUCUUCAAAGAAAUUAAACAAAACCUUGAGUGUGGCUCACUCUUGGCUAUUACAGUAGUCCAGCUUACUCUUUUGCAAGAGAAAACAGAAGAAAGGUAGAAAACUGCAUUCCAUGAGAAAAAAACAUUUUUGCUGUUUUGUUUGGGAUUUUGGAUGUACAGGAAACUCUUGCAGUGCGGAGUGCAUUUUGGUGCAGGUUUGGGUGUUGUUGACGCAGUGCGGAGUCCUCUCGACGCAUUCCAUAAGCAUUUUUUUUAGGUUUGGCGAAAAAGUUGUUCACUUUAAUUUGUGUAGCAGCUUAUUACCACUCGGUAUGAAGUGCAAUUUGUUUGUGUGUCUCAAAAA